rnacentral:rRNA from 1 species
GUUGAACGCUGACAGAAUGCUUAACACAUGCAAGUCAACUUGAAUUUGGGUUUUUAACUUAGGUUUGGGUGGCGGACGGGUGAGUAACGCGUAAAGAACUUGCCUCACAGCUAGGGACAACAUGUGGAAACGAAUGCUAAUACCUAAUAUUAUGAUAAUAGGGCAUCCUAUAAUUAUGAAAGCUAUAAGCGCUGUGAGAGAGCUUUGCGUCCCAUUAGCUAGUUGGAGAGGUAACGGCUCACCAAGGCGAUGAUGGGUAGCCGGUCUGAGAGGGUGAUCGGCCACAAGGGGACUGAGACACGGCCAUUACUCAUACGGGAGGCAGGAGUGGGGAAUAUUGGACGAUGGACCGAGAGUCUGAUCCAGCAAUUCUGUGUGCACGAUGAAGUUUUUCGGAAUGUAAAGUGCUUUCAGUUGGGAAGAAACAAAUGACGGUACCAACAGAAGAAGUGACGGCUAAAUACGUG